rnacentral:rRNA from 1 species
UACAGAGGGGGCAAGCGUUAUUCGGAAUUAUUGGGCGUAAAGGGCGCGUAGGCGGCUUUGCAAGUGACGGGUGAAAUCCCUCGGCUUAACCGAGGAACUGCCUGUCAAACUGCAUGGCUUGAGACCGGGAGAGGUGAGUGGAAUUCCUGGUGUAGCGGUGGAAUGCGCAGAUAUCAGGAGGAACACCGAUAGCGAAGGCAGCUCGCUGGGACGGUACUGACGCUGAGACGCGAAAGCGUGGGGAGCGAACAGG